GCCCAUAUGGAAAAAUCGAUUUUCCCAUGCGGGCUCUUAAGUGGUCCGCAUGCAAAAAGGAGCUUAUUUUUGCAUAGAGGUCCGCAUGGGAAAAUCGAUUUUUCCAUACGGGC
rnacentral:pre_miRNA from 18 species